UACGAAGGGGGCUAGCGUUGUUCGGAAUCACUGGGCGUAAAGGGCGCGUAGGCGGCUGUUCAAGUCGGGGGUGAGAUCCCGUGGCUCAACCACGGAAUGGCCUUCGAUACUGGACGGCUCGAGACCGGAAGAGGUGAGUGGAACUGCGAGUGUAGAGGUGAAAUUCGUAGAUAUUCGCAAGAACACCAGUGGCGAAGGCGGCUCACUGGUCCGGUUCUGACGCUGAGGCGCGAAAGCGUGGGGAGCAAACAGG
rnacentral:rRNA from 1 species